UGGCGAACGGGUGAGUAACACGUGGGCAACCUGCCCAAAAGAGGGGGAUAACACUUGGAAACAGGUGCUAAUACCGCAUAACCAUAGUUACCGCAUGGUAACUAUGUAAAAGGUGGCUAUGCUACCGCUUUUGGAUGGGCCCGCGGCGCAUUAGCUAGUUGGUGGGGUAAAGGCUUACCAAGGCAAUGAUGCGUAGCCGAACUGAGAGGUUGAUCGGCCACAUUGGGACUGAGACACGGUCCAAACUCCUACGGAAGGCAGCAG
rnacentral:rRNA from 1 species